rnacentral:rRNA from 1 species
UACGGAGGGUGCAAGCGUUAAUCGGAAUUACUGGGCGUAAAGCGCGCGUAGGCGGUUUUUUAAGUCGGAUGUGAAAGCCCCGGGCUCAACCUGGGAACUGCAUCCGAUGCUGGAAGACUAGAAUGCGGGAGAGGGAGGUAGAAUUCCAUGUGUAGCAGUGGAAUGCGUAGAUAUAUGGAGGAAUACCAGUGGCGAAGGCGGCCUCCUGGCUCGACAUUGACGCUGAGGUGCGAAAGCGUGGGGAGCAAACGGG